rnacentral:lncRNA from 1 species
AAUGAACAGAUUUUUGUUAAGGUUUAAUGUUUAAAAAUUUUAAUUAAUUAAAUUUAUUUAAUUAAAAAUCUAUUUUUAUCCCCAUUUGAAAAUUUAAGUUAGACACUUAAAAUCUAGAUGGACUAAUUUUAAUUAAUUAAAUUUAUUUAAUUAAAAAUCUAUUUUCAUCCCCAUUUGAAAAUUUAAGUUGACACUUAAAAUCUAGUUGGACUGCCACAUAAUAUUAUCGUUGGGGAGAUAACGAAACUUAACGGUAGGGUGAUCACUUCAUAACAAAAUAAUAACGUAAGUGACUAAAACGUAACAUUUCAUAAAUAAAUAAUUAAAAUGUAGCAUGGGAUAAACAAAAAUAACUAUUUUUGUAAAUUACCCUCCAGAGUGCCUAUAAACUAUUAGGAGUAGGUAUUUUUGGGCCUAAGUUUAAUGAUGUACAGACCAUUUCUAUAGGAAGCUUUGGAGCCUUAAACUUCCCACUAAGAUUAAGAUUACAAUAUGGAGAAUCGGUAACAAUUGUAUCCCUACAUGUACAAAUCUGAACCUUGGUGAUUAAUACUGUCUGCCCUCGAUGUACGGAGGGUACGGAAAAUUGGGACAUGUUUUUAGAAAUUGCCUGUAUCAGUAGAAGUAUGGUCACAAUUAGGCCUUCGUUUGGUUUUAAGCAGAGCAGAUUUGGGCCAAUUUGAAUGGCUUACCUGGGUGUUUAGGGAGAGUAAUCAUCAUACUAGUAGGAUGUUCGGAGGAGCACUAUGGGCAAUCUGGUCGGAUAGAAACAAAAUAGUUCACGAGAAGCAGUCAAAAACUGGACGGAAGAUCGCAGAUGAUUUACUUUGCUACUUAGUGGAAAUUGAUAAAUCAGAGUUAGAUGGGCCUACCAGAAUAAGUGCGAAUGACCAGUGGAUUCCCCCACAUGGUGAACUCAUCAAAGUUAAUUUUGAUGGGGCUUUUGACAAAGAUUGCUUUCAAUCUUGCUUUGGAAUUGUGGCAAGAAAUGCUGGUGGUCGGGUUCUGGUCUCACGAACAGUACUUCAUGAAAAUGUUGCGUCCGCUUUCGCUGCUGAGGCCUUGUAGGUACUUGGGCAGUACAAACAAGUAUGGAAAUGGGUUGGCUAGAUCUCAUCUUUAAAGGGGACUCGUUAUCAGUUGUUAAUAAAUGUCGAAUAAAUUCCCCUGAUAAGUCGGAAAUUGGUGCUUAUAUAAGGAAUAUUCAACAAAUUUCGAAAAAAUUCUGGUGGGUUCGAUUUCAACAUGUGAACAGGAAAACCAAUCAACUUGCUCAUAUACUAGCGACGGAGUGUUUAAGAAGGAAGGAGAAAACUUACAUGGAAGGUGGGGUUUCCAGAUUUGGCAGACGGAGAAUGGAAGACGACUGAUCGUGCGAACCAGAUAGAAGGAGCUGUUGUGUUUAAGGGGUGGAAGAAUCGGGAACGAUGGUAAAGAAAUGGAAAAGGGUUUUUUGUUCUCUUGGAAGAUGUAAUCACCUGGUCUUGAAAUAUGGAAAUGAAUUGAUGGGGGGUUGCUGGUAAGUCUUUUGGUCUGCUUUUAUUUAUUGUUUUGGAACAGAUAUUUUAUGCUCUCUCUUUUGGAAUGGUUGGUUUUGGGUAUUAUGUUGUUGGGUCAGGUCAUUUAUGCUUUCUUUCUUUGCUUUUAAGCCCGUGAGUUUUGGGUCUUAUUCUCUUUUGUUUUUUCUUUUGUAUAUUCAUAAAAUCCAGCCC